UAUCUCUGUAGAGUCUGCAUAUCAAUAAGCGGAGGAAAAGAAACUAACAAGGAUUCCCUUAGUAACGGCGAGUGAAGCGGGAAGAGCUCAAAUUUGAAAUCUUCAAGGUUCUACCUUGACGAAUUGUAGUUUAAAGAAGUGUUUUCUGUUAGAUGAGUAGCAAAAGUUCCUUGGAAUGGGACAUCAUAGAGGGUGAGAAUCCCGUAUUUGGUUAUUCAUUCUAGCUUUGUGAUACACUUUCAAAGAGUCGGAUUGUUUGGGAAUGCAGUCCAAAAUGGGUGGUAAAUUUCAUCUAAAGCUAAAUAUUGGCGAGAGACCGAUAGCGAACAAGUACCGUGAGGGAAAGAUGAAAAGAACUUUGAAAAGAGAGUUAAACAGUACGUGAAAUUGUCAAAAGGGAAGCGUUUGACACCAGUGUUGGUUUUCCAAAAAUCAAUUACGAAUGGCUUGAUUUUGUGUUGUAUUGACCUUAUCAGCUUUCUUCACUUUUUUCGAGUCUUUCUUAAUGCACUUUUCGGUUAACAAGUCAACAUCAAUUUCUUUUGUUGUAAAAGAGUAUUCGGAAGGUGGCUUUCUUUUCGGAGAAAGUGUUUAUAGCCCUAUACUUCUACAAUCGGAGAGAUUGAGGUCCGCAGCGUAGAUCCUUCGGGGUUAGAUACACCUGUGCUAAGUUGUAGCUUUUCAUAGACAACUUGUUGACUAUGUUUAGUCAUGCGGCUUACUCGCUUGUGCUAUUUUACCUACGCUUAGGAUGUUGACUGAUAUGUAGUCGU
rnacentral:rRNA from 1 species